AGCGAACGCUGGCGGCAGGCUUAACACAUGCAAGUCGAGCGGGCGUAGCAAUACGUCAGCGGCAGACGGGUGAGUAACGCGUGGGAACGUACCUUUUGGUUCGGGAACAACACAGGGAAACGUUGUGCUAAUACCGGAUAAGCCCUUACGGGAAAGAUUUAUCGCCGAAAGAUCGGCCCGCGUCUGAUUAGCUAGUUGGUGUGGUAACGGCGCACCAAGGCGACGAUCAGUAGCNGGUCUGAGAGGAUGAUCAGCCACC
rnacentral:rRNA from 1 species